rnacentral:lncRNA from 1 species
UGGGCAUAUCGAAUAACUCCUCGCAUACCAACAGGAAAAUCAUCAUUUAAUCUGGCUUAUGGAACAAAAGCGAUGAUCUCACUUGAGAUCAGAUUACCAUCAGUAAGGGUGGAACAAUACAAUGAGCCGAGCAAUUCAGAAUGUCGGAGAGUCGAUUUAGACCUACUUUCAGAAGUCUGACAGCAAGCUCAAAUUUGGAUGACAGAAUAUCGGUAAAGAGUAGCCCGAUAUUAUAAUUCAAAAGUUAAGUCGAAGGUCUUCCAUCCGAUAGACCUAGUCCAAAGAAAGGUAGAAGUUUCAAAAUCUUUAGAUCAAAAAAAAUUAUCUCUGAAUUGGGAAGGACCUUACAGAAUAAUUGAGAUACUUAGAUCAGAUGCAUAUCGACUCGACUGGAAACCCUUGAGGGAAUAGCUAUUCCACGAAUGUAGAAUGCUGACAACUUAAAGAUGUAUUAUCAAUAAAGUUAUUCAUGUGUACAGUUUUCAGAAUGAAACAUUUAAUUUCAUAAUCAUAAAAGUUUCAGCCAACUACAAAGUGAUAAAUAGAUGAUUAAUUUUUAUCGACUAUAUUUCAAUUUUUCACUGUAAAAAUCGACACAUCGACUAUAUCUUGAUUUUCACUGUAAAAUUCGAUAUACCGACUGUAUCUCGAUAUCGACUAUAUCUCGAUUUUUUACUGUAAAAGCUGAUUGAACGACUAUUUAUACUGAUUUAGUUUUAACUAAGUAGAAUACUAUGCCAAUAUGAUUC